rnacentral:rRNA from 1 species
GGUGAACGCUGGCGGCGUGCCUAACACAUGCAAGUCGAGCGAACAGAUCAUAAGCUUGCUCUUUUGACGUUAGCGGCUGACGGGCGAGUAACACUUGGAUAAGCAACUUAUAUUACUUGGAUAACUUCGGGAACCCGCAUCUAAUACUGCAUCAUAUAUUCAACCGCAUGGUUCAAGCGUUAACGCUUGCUUUGCUUACACUUCUAGAUGUAUCCGCGCCGCAUUCGCUAGUUGGUAAGGUAACGGCUUACCAAGGCCACGAUCCGUAUCCGACCUGAAAGAGUGAUCAGCAACAAUGGAAAUGAGACAAGGUCAAGACUCCGAAGGGAGGAAGCAGUAGGGAAUAUUGAACAAUGGGCGAAAGCCUGACGGAGGAAUGCAGCGUGAGGGAAGAAGGGCUUCGGAUCGUAAAGCGCGUUUGUUAGGGAAGAACAAAUGGAUAAUAAACCAUGCAUGUUGUGACGGUACCUAAACAAAAAGCCACGGCUAACUACGUG